GUAAGGACUGGUUUCAACUUAUUUCUUCAAGUUUUUCUCAUCUUCAAUCCACCAAAGCUUAAGGAAAAAGUAUUGUUCUUGGAGAAUAAAGAGGGCAGGGGCUGCUUUUCUUUGAUAUAUAGGCUCAGGUACUCAGGACAACAAGCAUUUUCAUUAGACUAGAGACUUCCAGUUUAGCAGUUGGUAAGCUCCACCUCUACCUGGAGCUAUCAGAUAUUUAGAGCCUAUAUUUUUCUACGUAUAUACAUAUAUCAGAAUGGGCAUGUCGGCGCCCUGUCUCGACUAGUUAUCAGAUUCUCAGAGGCAUACUCUUUAGAGGCUUCGUAGACUUA